AUGGCUUACGUCAUCCGUUUGACAGAUUUACAUUUUACAUGGAAAAAGGAAAACAGAAAACAGUAAAAAGAGCAAAAACAGGCGAAACUAUUGUGGGAUCAACAAUUUAUUCGUAAAUAACAUCAAGAUGAAUGAGAUUGAUGAUAAAUUUUACUACGUGUAUAGUUCCUCAUUGGAUCACAAAGUCGAGAUAAAAAUAGGCACAUUAGAAGGCAAGCGAGCUAAACCGGAAUAUGACAAGCUGCUCUCAGAUCCGAUGCUCAAGUUCUCCGGUCUGUACCAGGAAGGAUGUUCCGACUUAUAUGUGACCUGCCAGAUACUGAGCGAUGGACAGCCUCUGGCGUUACCUGUUACAACGUCUUAUAAGUCUUUUAGUAAUCGAUGGAAUUGGAACGAAUGGGUGACGCUACCAGUGUACUUCAGCGAUUUACCCCGCAACGCGACCCUGGCUAUGACGAUAUACGACUGCGCUGGGCCGGGCAAGCUCAUGGUUGUGGGGGGCACUACUAUAUCGCUGUUUGGGAAGCAUGGCAUGUUGAGACAGGGUAUGUUCGACCUUCGCGUGUGGCCGGGCGUGGAGGGCAGCGAGAAGACUCCGGGCAAAGCCCCCGAUAGGGGCAAGGAGCAGAUGCAGAGGCUCGCCAAGCUGGCCAAGAAACAUCGGAACGGACAUAUACCUAAGGUGGACUGGCUAGACCGGCUGACGUUCAGGGAGAUAGAAAUGAUAAAUGAAAAGGAAAAACGCAGUUCAGACUAUAUGUACUUGAUGGUGGAAUUUCCUACGGUGCAGAUCGCUGGGAUCGACCAUGCAGUAGUGUACUAUGAACAAGAUGGCGACGAGAUGUAUCAGUUCCGAGCUCAAGCUGACAUCGUCACCGUACCUGACUAUGAGAUCUUACAGGAAAACCUAGUAGAAAGCAAACAGCACCGUCUAGCUCGUUCCCUCCGGUCGGGAGUGUCGGGUCGCGACGCCAAGCCAACUGCGGCCGAGCGCGACCAGCUCGCCGCGCUAGUGGCCGCGCCACCAGCCCGCCCGCUCACUGCCACCGACCAGGACCUGCUGUGGAAGUUCAGGUUCUACUUAUCAUCACAUCGCAGAGCGCUUACGAAAUUCCUGGAAUGUGUCAACUGGAACAGGCCAGGCGAGGUGCGGCAAGCCCUGUCUAUGAUGAAGCAAUGGGCGCCCAUGGACGUAGAAGAUGCACUUGAACUAUUGACUCCUAAGUUUACACAUCCCGCUGUCAGAAAGUACGCCAUCUCCCGUCUGAAACAAGCGCCCGAUGACGAUCUCUUACUGUACUUGCUACAGUUAGUACAAGCUCUGAAAUAUGAAGACUUCAACGAGAUACAUGACGAAUACGCUCGCGUAUGCGGCAAAGACCCGAGCACAGCUGAAUUAGAAUCUCGCGAGAGUCGCCUCAUGCAGAGUGGACACAGGGGUAGUCAAGCAAGUUUGUUGUCAGCCUCAGUGCUAACAGCAAGUGAGAUGACGUCAUCGACGACUAGCCGUCGUUCUACCGACGCCACCAUCGAGGAAGCCCCCGCUGCUAUCGAUUCUAAUGUUAGCGUCAACAAUAAUAACGACAAUGCAAAUCUAAUGGAUAAUAAUAACCCUUUCAGUGAAGACCCAUCAGAAGAGCGUCUAUCCCUAGCUUCGUUCCUGAUCUCCCGCGCCUGCAGCAACAGUGUAGUCGCCAACUACCUGUACUGGUACCUGCUCAUCGAGUGCGAGGACAGCGAUGCUGCACGGGAUCUGACUGCCAGGCAUAUGUACCUCGCUGUCAUGAGGACUUUCAGCCAUCGACUGGCUAGAGGUGACGCGGACCACCAGCGCAGCCGCUCGUUCCUGGCCCGCCAGCAGGUGUUCAUCGACAAGCUCGUGAAGCUCGUCAAGACCGUCGCCCGCGAGAGCGGCAACAGGAACAAGAAGGCUGAACGACUGCAGCAGUUGCUGGCAGACCCUGAUGCUUUCAAGUUUAACUUUACUAACUUCGAGCCUAUGCCUUUCCCUUUGGACCCUAAUGUUACUAUUAAAGGAAUCGUCGCCAAAAAAGCGAGCCUAUUCAAAUCCGCAUUAAUGCCUUCAAAGCUAACCUUCUUAACCACAGAAGGCAUGGAGUACGAAGCCAUUUUCAAACACGGAGAUGAUUUACGCCAAGACCAACUUAUACUACAAAUGAUCACAUUAAUGGACAAAUUAUUGAGACGAGAAAACUUAGAUUUAAAAUUAACUCCGUACAAAGUUUUAGCGACAAGUUCUAAACAUGGGUUUUUGCAAUUUAUUGAGUCUGUGACGGUAGCUGAAGCGUUGGCUACGGAGGGUAGCAUACAGAAUUUCUUCAGGAAACAUAAUCCGUGUGAAGGUGCCCCGUAUGGCAUUAAGCCUGAAACUAUGGAUACUUAUAUUAGGAGUUGUGCGGGGUAUUGUGUUAUUACUUAUUUGCUUGGCGUCGGCGACCGUCACCUGGACAACUUACUCCUGACAAAAUCCGGAGCCCUAUUCCACAUCGACUUCGGCUACAUCCUGGGCCGCGACCCCAAGCCGCUGCCGCCGCCCAUGAAGCUCAGCAAGGAGAUGGUCGAAGCCAUGGGAGGAGUCCACUCCGAGCUGUACCAUGAGUUCCGCAAGCAGUGCUAUACUGCCUUCUUGCAUUUGCGCAGGCACGCGAAUUUAAUGUUGAAUCUAUUCUCUCUGAUGGUGGAUGCGUCUGUGCCCGACAUCGCGCUAGAACCUGACAAGGCUGUCAAGAAGGUGCAAGAUAAGCUAAGACUGGACUUAGGCGACGAGGAAGCGGUGCACUACUUACAGAAUCUUCUAGACAUGUCUGUGACAGCUGUCAUGGCUGUGCUCGUGGAACAAUUCCACAAGUUUGCACAAUAUUGGCGGAAAUAAACUGGUUUACACCACUUUGAUUUGACAUGGGACUGAAGGAAAUAAAGUCGUACUCUUGGACCUAGUAACAAACUGUGUGCAAACAUUUUCUAACAUGUCCGCGAAAUGACAACCUGCUGUGGGCUCGUGUUGACGUGAACUACUUAUUAACCCCUUGAACGCCGAUGCGCGGGUCCACGCGAGACCUAAUUGAUUUUCUAUUGUUCUCAAAUUAGCGGCAUUCAAAAUGCAUGGUCUCGGUAGGAAAUCCAUCGACUGAGAGACGAAAAUCUGCAUGCCCUAUAACCCAGAUGAGCAUAUUUUUGACAAGGGUAUUAAUUUGAUAAUAAUUGUUCAAUAUUGACACAAUUUUUGACAUAUUGCUGAUUUUAAAGUCUUCCAUUACCGGAUUUUAAUUCGUAUUUUGCAAAUUCUCAUUUUGGCAUAACAUCUUGUCCCUGUGGUCAAAGUGUAAAGCUGAUUAUAGACUAAUUCGCUACUUAGCUAUUUUUAAUGAAUUUAUUCAAUAUUUAAAAAUUGUAUUUAUGUAUGUAAUCAUUUUAUUGGCAAAAUCGCUUUUGUAAAGUUUUAUUGUACCUUUCUCGCCAAGAAAAAAAUCGCUCUCGUAUUCUGUAUAAUAUUUAUUGGUAAAAUAUUAUAAUCACACCAUUUUCAAGUUUUUUUUUACAAUAAAUUGGCUAAAUUGAAAGAUGGGCGAACAACAUACUGUGAUAAAAUUAGGUAUUAUAAGUGUUCAUGAUUUUGUAAUAAUAAAUGCUAUUUUAAUAAA
rnacentral:misc_RNA from 1 species